GACGAACGCUGGCGGCGUGCUUAACACAUGCAAGUCGAACGAAGUGGCGAACGGGUGAGUAACGCGUAAUCAACCUGCCCUUCAGAGGGGGACAACAGUUGGCAACGACUGCUAAUACCGCAUACUGUAGGAGGGGAUUGCGUCGGAUGAGCGAGUUGGAGGGGUAACGGCCCACCAAGGCGAUGAUCAGUAGCCGGUCUGAGAGGAUGAACGGCCACAUUGGGACUGGGACACGGCCCAGACUCCUACGGGAGGCAGCAGUGGGGAAUCUUCCGCAAUGGACGAAAGUCUGACGGAGCAACGCCGCGGGAGUGAUGACGGCCUUCGGGUUGUAAAGCUCUGUUAAUCGGGACGCGGUACCGGAAUAGAAAGCAACGGCUAACUACGUGCCAGCAGCCGCGGUAAUUC
rnacentral:rRNA from 1 species